rnacentral:lncRNA from 1 species
GGGUGAUUAAAUAAAAAAAAAAAAGGCUUUGUGCGAGAUGACCACCUACUGAACGUGAAUGCAAACUAUUCUGAGUGCAGUAAGGCUGGGUGGGCCAGGUCCAUUGACUGCACUACCAUCUCGGAACUUUGAGAGUACAAAAGGCAUGUCAGAAACUAAUGCCAUCAUAAAUGGAAGUAUGUUACAAAGGAAAACCUCUUUGCAGAGUAAGGCCAAUGUAUAAGGAGCCAGCUUCAAGGCCAGGAGCCAUACUGGGCUUCAUGGUUCUCAAAGCGACAUAAUUCAUUGUUUAUAUCACUGCCACCUCCAGACCCUUCUAGGCCCAGCAUUGCUAAUCAGAAAGAAAAUCAUGACUUGUAGCACGCAUUGCUUUCCCAGCUCUGCAACUGAAUUCCAACCCAGGCCUAUGUAGACGAGUUCCACUCCUGUAUCUAGAUCAAGACUCAUCAUGCUCUUCUCUCAAUUGUUUCCUAACUGGAACUUAUUACCCUGUUUUGGCAAAUCAGCACUUCUGGUCUCCUGAGUCUGCCCUCAGACGACGAUUCCCGUCUUAAGGUACAUGUGGGUCCCCACCCUGCAUGUUUUCUCAUCAGCUGAAGAUUAUCUCAGUCAGGUACUGUUGGCGUCUUCAUUUCAGAGAUGGGGUCACUGAGCCGUGGAGAAGUUAGGAAACUUGCCUAGGGCAUCAAACUGCUGAGAAGUGAAGCUGGCCCAGGAUCUGCUUUUCUUGUAAAUGCACCACACUACAGUCCACACUGAACUGAGACACACAGCCUGGAGCUUUACAGCCUCACCCUGCAUAUCUUUGGACUCACAAGCAAUACGAGCUACCAACCCUCCAGGCCUGGGGAGUACACUGCAUCCCUUGAUCAUCAGCUCCAAAACUGCAGAUGCAAGGUGACUGACAACCACUACCACAAUUCGUCCCUGAGCUUCUUCUAAUGACUUCACUUCUAUUUCUUUCUGGCUUUCCAAGAUUAUGAGAGAUGCUUUGGUUAGUAAGGUGAAGCUUGCCACUUUUGGAUGAGACCUUGGGUAUGAUUCUCCACGUUUCCUUCUUUUGUCUAUGGAGCACAAGGCCAGAAAGGGAGUCUCCAUGAGCCUGAGAUCCCAAGUGACUGUGACAUUCAGAAUCUGCCCUUGCCACCCCAUCCCUCCCAUGUUAUUCACAAAGCAUUAGAAGACCAUUAAUAGAAAACUAUGUCCUUCCGGUCAAAACAUUAAAAAAAUUAAAAAAAAAUGGAAUCUGUCUUUGGUCUUUGGUGAAUACGUAACACUCCAAACUAUGCAAACAUAAGAAUUUAUGCAGCUUGGCCUGUCAAUCUUCUGACUAAGAGACUGUGCCUGGGGAAGGCAGAUUUAGCUAAUACUAUGCUAAAGAGAUGCAAGGCAUAAUUAUGCUUUUAAUGAGAUGACAUGCUCUUCCUUCCCAUAAG